CGCCCCUCGGACGCAGCAGUGAGGAAUAUUGGUCAAUGGACGCAAGUCUGAACCAGCCAAGUCGCGUGCAGGAUAACGGCCCUCCGGGUUGUAAACUGCUUUUAGUUGGGAAUAAAAGGGGGCUCGUGAGCCCCGUAUUGUAUGUACCAUCAGAAAAAGGAUCGGCUAACUCCGUGCCAGCAGCCGCGGUAAUACGGAGGAUCCGAGCGUUAUCCGGAUUUAUUGGGUUUAAAGGGAGCGUAGGUGGAUUGUUAAGUCAGUUGUGAAAGUUUGCGGCUCAACCGUAAAAUUGCAGUUGAAACUGG
rnacentral:rRNA from 1 species